rnacentral:rRNA from 1 species
UGGGGAAUUUUGGACAAUGGGCGCAAGCCUGAUCCAGCCAUGCCGCGUGCGGGAAGAAGGCCUUCGGGUUGUAAACCGCUUUUGUCAGGGAAGAAACGCUCUGGGCUAAUACCCCGGGGUAAUGACGGUACCUGAAGAAUAAGCACCGGCUAACUACGUGCCAGCAGCCGCGGUAAUACGUAGGGUGCAAGCGUUAAUCGGAAUUACUGGGCGUAAAGCGUGCGCAGGCGGUUAUGCAAGACAGAUGUGAAAUCCCCGGGCUCAACCUGGGAACUGCAUUUGUGACUGUAUAGCUAGAGUACGGUAGAGGGGGAUGGAAUUCCGCGUGUAGCAGUGAAAUGCGUAGAUAUGCGGAGGAACACCGAUGGCGAAGGCAAUCCCCUGGACCUGUACUGACGCUCAUGCACGAAAGCGUGGGGAGCAAACAGGAUUAGAUACCCUAGUAGUCCCUGAGCGGGCUGGCAAGGCGCAU